ACCUCCCUGUCAUGUUACCCGUGAACUCCGGAUUUGGUCGGUUGUCUUUCCUUGAGUUGGAGCUACUUUUAGAGAGCUUGGGCUGAAGACAUCUUCUUCAAUCUUGAAAGCUCUUUCUCCUUGGAAGAGGUCUAAAGCUUGGACUUUGGUGGAAGAUUUUCUCGCCGGCAAGCUUAGAGCAAGCCUUAAUUUGCGAGACUUGGUGAAUUCAACUCUGUAGCUCGGAGCCAGCUAGGAGGAGUAAGUCGUAGUCAUGUGCACAUGGUUUUUGUAGUAGCGCUACCCCCUGACUGCGGUCGAAGAUCAGGCUUCGGCUGUUGAUAUUUUGUUUAGUUCCAACUUCACAGUCGAUGAUCCAGCCUCGAGCUGUUGAUUUCUGUUAUCAAUCAGGGAGAUGUACACCUCUGUUUUCUGCGGGGUUUUUGUAUUUUUGAUUAUUUCUGUAUUCUAAGCAUUUUCUGUAUUUCUGUGUGAAUUUUUAUAAUUAUUCUGCAAUAUCUGCAUUAUCUGUUAUUUCUACGAUCCUACUGGGCCCUUGUGGCUCAUACACUCUGUGAUUUUUGUUCUCGUAGGAGAAGAUCAAGUCUAGGAUCUGGGGUAUCUUGGAGUCGUAUUUCCUGCUUUGUAGUAUCUUUGUAGUGAACUUCCUUGUGUGAGUAAGACUUGUAUCCGUCUGUAUAUUUUGGUCUGUAGACUGUUUGUAUGACUCUGUAUUUCUGUAGGGCUGUUUAAGCCCAUACUUGUAUUAAUUCGGUUUCUGUUAACUUA